rnacentral:rRNA from 1 species
UGGGGAAUAUUGGACAAUGGGCGAAAGCCUGAUCCAGCCAUGCCGCGUGUGUGAAGAAGGUCUUAGGAUUGUAAAGCACUUUAAGUUGGGAGGAAGGGCAGUUACCUAAUACGUAAUUGUUUUGACGUUACCGACAGAAUAAGCACCGGCUAACUCUGUGCCAGCAGCCGCGGUAAUACAGAGGGUGCAAGCGUUAAUCGGAAUUACUGGGCGUAAAGCGCGCGUAGGUGGUUUGUUAAGUUGGAUGUGAAAUCCCCGGGCUCAACCUGGGAACUGCAUUCAAAACUGACUGACUAGAGUAUGGUAGAGGGUGGUGGAAUUUCCUGUGUAGCGGUGAAAUGCGUAGAUAUAGGAAGGAACACCAGUGGCGAAGGCGACCACCUGGACUAAUACUGACACUGAGGUGCGAAAGCGUGGGGAGCAAACA